GACGAACGCUGGCGGCGUGCUUAACACAUGCAAGUCGAACGGAAAGGCCCUGCUUUUGUGGGGUGCUCGAGUGGCGAACGGGUGAGUAACACGUGAGUAACCUGCCCUUGACUUUGGGAUAACUUCAGGAAACUGGGGCUAAUACCGGAUAGGAGCUCCUGCUGCAUGGUGGGGGUUGGAAAGUUUCGGCGGUUGGGGAUGGACUCGCGGCUUAUCAGCUUGUUGGUGGGGUAGUGGCUUACCAAGGCUUUGACGGGUAGCCGGCAUGGGAGGGUGGCCGGCCACAUUGGGACUGAGAUACGGACCAGACUCCUACGGGAGGCAGUAGUGGGGAAUAUUGCACAAUGGGCGGAAGCCUGAUGCAGCAACGCCGCGUGCGGGAUGACGGCCUUCGGGUUGUAAACCGCUUUCGCCUGUGACGAAGCGUGAGUGACGGUAAUGGGUAAAGAAGCACCGGCUAACUACGUG
rnacentral:rRNA from 1 species